rnacentral:pre_miRNA from 1 species
GAUGCGCUUCACUCUAAGUAUGAACACCAAGCGUAUUUUCAUAGAGUUUGGUGUUCUACCUUACAGUGAAAUGAACU